AUUGAACGCUGGCGGCAGGCCUAACACAUGCAAGUCGAGCGGAUGAAGGGAGCUUGCUCCUGGAUUCAGCGGCGGACGGGUGAGUAAUGCCUAGGAAUCUGCCUGGUAGUGGGGGAUAACGUCCGGAAACGGGCGCUAAUACCGCAUACGUCCUGAGGGAGAAAGUGGGGGAUCUUCGGACCUCACGCUAUCAGAUGAGCCUAGGUCGGAUUAGCUAAUUGGUGGGGUAAAGGCCUACCAAGGCGACGAUCCGUAACUGGUCUGAGAGGAUGAUCAGUCACACUGGAACUGAGACACGGUCCAGACUCCUACGGGAGGCAGCAGUGGGGAAUAUUGGACAAUGGGCGAAAGCCUGAUCCAGCCAUGCCGCGUGUGUGAAGAAGGUCUUCGGAUUGUAAAGCACUUUAAGUUGGGAGGAAGGGCAGUAAGUUAAUACCUUGCUGUUUUGACGUUACCAACAGGAUAAGCACCGGCUAACUUCGUG
rnacentral:rRNA from 1 species